rnacentral:rRNA from 1 species
GACGAACGCUGGCGGCGUGCUUAACACAUGCAAGUCGAACGGAAAGGCCCUGCUUUUGUGGGGUGCUCGAGUGGCGAACGGGUGAGUAACACGUGAGUAACCUGCCCUUGACUUUGGGAUGACUUCAGGAAACUGGGGCUAAUACCGGAUAGGAGCUCCUGCUGCAUGGUGGGGGUUGGAAAGUUUCGGCGGGUGGGGAUGGACGCGCGGCUUAUCAGCUUGUUGGUGGGGUAGUGGCUGACCAAGGCUUUGACGGGUAGCCGGCCUGAGAGGGUGACCGGCCACAUGGGGACUGAGAUACGGCCCAGACUCCUACGGGAGGCAGCAGUGGGGAAUAUUGCACAAUGGGCGGAAGCCUGAUGCAGCAACGCCGCGGGCGGGAUGACGGCCUUCGGGUUGUAAACCGCUUUCGCCUGUGACGAAGCGUGAGUGACGGUAAUGGGUAAAGAAGCACCGGCUAACUACGUG